rnacentral:rRNA from 1 species
AUACGUAGGGAGCGAGCGUUGUCCGGAAUGAUUGGGCGUAAAGGGCGCGUAGGCGGCCCGGUAAGUCUGGAGUGAAAGUCCUGUUUUUAAGAUGGGAAUUGCUUUGGAUACUGUCGGGCUUGAGUGCAGGAGAGGUAAGUGGAAUUCCCAGUGUAGCGGUGAAAUGCGUAGAGAUCGGGAGGAACACCAGUGGCGAAGGCGGGUAACUGGACUGCAACUGACGCUGAGGCGCGAAAGUGUGGGGAGCAAACAGGAUUAGAUACCCUGGUAGUCCACACUGUAAACGAUGAAUGCUAGGUGUAAGAGGUAUCGACCCCUUUUGUGCCGGAGUCAACACAAUAAGCAUUCCGCCUGGGGAGUACGGCCGCAAGGUUGAAACUCAAAUGAAUUGACGGGG